AUAUCAAUAAGCGCAGGAAAAGAAACCAACAGGGAUUGCCUCAGUAACGGCGAGUGAAGCGGCAACAGCUCAAAUUUGAAAUCUGGCCUCUCGGGGUCCGAGUUGUAAUUUGUAGAGGAUGUUUUGGGUACCGCCCCGGUUUAAAUUUCUUGGAACAGAAUGUCAAAGAGGGUGAGAAUCCCGUCUUGGACCGGCGGUAGGGCCUGUGUAAAACUCCUUCGAUGAGUCGAGUUGUUUGGGAAUGCAGCUCAAAAUGGGUGGUAAAUUUCAUCUAAAGCUAAAUAUUGGCCAGAGACCGAUAGCGCACAAGUAGAGUGAUCGAAAGAUGAAAAGCACUUUGAAAAGAGAGUUAAACAGUAUGUGAAAUUGUUGAAAGGGAAGCGCUUGCAACCAGACUUGAGCGCGGCGGUUCCCCCAGCCUUUUGGCUGGGUUACUCCGUCGUGUCCAGGCCAACAUCGGUUCUGAGGGUCGGUCAAAGGCUCCGGGAAUGUAUCUACCCACGGGUAGACUUAUAGACCGGGGUGUCAUGCGGCCUCUCGGGACCGAGGAACGCGCUUCGGCUCGGAUGUUGGCGUAAUGGUUGUCAGCGA
rnacentral:rRNA from 1 species